CCAAUAGCGUAUAUUAAAGUUGUUGCAGUUAAAAAGCUCGUAGUUGAAUUUCGAGACCGGUUUACUGGUCAUGCCUCUGGUAUGUACUGGUCUCACUGAUUCCUCCUUCCUGAUGAGCCGUAAUGCCAUUAAUUUGGUGUUGCGGGGAAUUUGGACUGUUACUUUGAAAAAAUUAGAGUGUUUAAAGCAAGCUAACGCUUGAAUACAUUAGCAUGGAAUAAUGAAAUAGGACGUUCGAUCCUAUUUUGUUGGUUUCUAGGAUUGACGUAAUGAUUAAUAGGGAUAGUUGGGGGCAUUAGUAUUCAAUUGUCAGAGGUGAAAUUCUUGGAUUUAUUGAAGACUAACUACUGCGAAAGCAUUUGCCAAGGAUGUUUUCAUUAAUCAAGAACGAAAGUUAGGGGAUCGAAGACGAUCAGAUACCGUCGUAGUCUUAACCAUAAACUAUGCCGACUAGGGAUCGGAUGAUGUUAAUUUUUUAAUGACUCAUUCGGCGCCUUACG
rnacentral:rRNA from 1 species